UACGUAGGGUGCGAGCGUUGUCCGGAAUUACUGGGCGUAAAGAGCUCGUAGGUGGCUUGUCGCGUUGUCCGUGAAAACUCACAGCUCAACUGUGGGCGUGCGGGCGAUACGGGCAGACUGGAGUACUGCAGGGGAGACUGGAAUUCCUGGUGUAGCGGUGGAAUGCGCAGAUAUCAGGAGGAACACCGGUGGCGAAGGCGGGUCUCUGGGCCGAUACUGACGCUGGAGGCGCGAAGGCCUAGGGGGAGCAAACAGG
rnacentral:rRNA from 1 species